GUAUACAUGUACACACAUGCACAUCUGUAAUUACAUAAUUAUAAAUAAUUUUAGAUAGACAGCUUCAUAAAUACCUGUGUACAUAAGUAUAUCUCUAUAAUUAUGAAACAGAAAGAAAUCUCUGUCUUUAACCCUUUACAACAAAAUUUCUUAUUGAAACCAAAUUCUAUUUCAUGUAGUUCUUCAUUCGGAGCAAACGUACUACCGAGUGAGAAACAGCAUUUGACUUCCAGUUUCUGUAUUUCAGAUGACAGUAUAAACAUAUAGUCAGUUUGACAAUAAUUGCAGUAAUCUUCCUUUGAGACAUUGCAGCAAAUCGGAUCUGCUUGUAUAGUUGUGAUUAUUAUGCAAAAAGGUUAACUAUCAAACUCCAAUUACUCCUACAUAACUAUGUAUUUCUGUAUAUAUAUUUCUGUUUACCCAGUUGCAAAUGAAUCGUUGCAAUCAGGGUAUUUUGUGUGAUCUUAAAUUAGUCUGUCCUCAUUAUUUAAAAUGUUGGGGCUAUAGUUUUAUGACACAAACUGUCCUCUACUUUGCCUUGGCAGGUUCAGUUCAUUAAAACCGUGUUAUCAUCAUGACCUAUUCAAGUCAAUAAUCCUUGGUACCAGUAAAACAGAGUACUCAUCUCUCACCCUCAGCAGUACUGCAAUGAUUAUUUAUGACUAAUCAGGCUGCUCUGCAGAAGACAUAUUCAUGCCAAUUACAUGCUUCCCAUUGCGUGAAAUGCUUAAUUAAAGUUUCCUCUAUAAAUAUUAACAUGAUUGAAGUCAUCUUGCUAGCAGCCACACAGAGUCAUGCCAAGACCUAUGUAUGUCCUGGGAGGUUACUGAAACACAUUUUUCUCCAACUCAGUUUGCAUUAAGCCAUUCUGUACGCCAUGAAUUCAAAGAUAAAAGGUAAGUCUAAAAUCCCUCAUACGUAGUAAAUAGAAUUUUGAAGUACUUGUAGGUGGUGCAGCAUAAUCUCUGGCUUUCUUGGAGUUUGUUGCUAGUUCUCCUGUGCUUCCCUAUAAUUUAAGGAUUCCAUGUUUUACUGUUGUUAAUAUUACAGCUUGGCUGAUAGAAAAGCUAUUGGCAAUUUGCAUUCAAUUAUACUAACAAUUAUGAUCAAUAUAUGUGUAAGUACGGUUAAUCUCAUACCUAUGGAGUCAGGAGUGACACUGUGCAGGUGAAACUGAAUCUCGGUUGUAACGCACUCUAGAAGUGGACAGCAUUUGUGAAGGUGGGCUAAUCCAGACUGCGCAGUGGACAUCAUCUCUUCCGCAGAUCCCUAGGAAACAGUUCCUUUCAAGUGGAAGGACUACAUUUUUCACCGGCAGGAUCUUAUGAGGGAUGACAUUUCAACAUCCUUUUUCAUGGCCCUUGGCAGGAAUAAGGUGGCAUCUCAUUAAGAUAAGUAGAAUAUGCAGCAGGGAGCAGAUUAUGGUCAUUUCUGGGAAGCUGCAGGUAUGGAGAAGGUGUUCUAAGUUUUUCUACGCUUCUUGCUAUUGAGAAGCUGAAAGGAGUGGAACUUGGCUUUUUUUACCUUUCCCUUCCACCCUGACGAAAAAGCACACCUAUCUUAAUUAUGUGCAUACAUUACUGGUGAUUUUUAUAAUGUUUUUAAUAAUAUUUUACAAUAUCAGGAAAAACCACAGAUUAAACAUGAAGACAGAUGAAGGAACUGGGUAUCUGAAAACAACACAUGGAGCCAGACAUUCAUUGUCUUUCUGUUGUGAGGUCUGGAAUAGUGGUUCUCCCAGGUUAUUUACAUGACAUUGUUUAGAAAACAAAUAAGGAAAAGAACUGGAGUGAUGUACUGGCCAUUGAAAAUCAAUAGAGAUCUGAAGUUUGGAGUAAACAGAUCAGAACUUCUAAGGAAUGGGCAUCAAAUAUUAGAGAGUAUCAAAUUAAAGUUACAGUAGUGGUUAGACAUAUUUGACCUGUGAGCAGUGUGGUAAUUGUUUGCAAUAUGGUACUUUUUAAAAGGGAAACAAAACCAGGAUUCUUUUUUAUGCAGAACAAACACAGGGUACAGAGGAAUUGCUUCCUACUGUCUUCUUUUCAAGGUAUAUAAAGGAAGAGACACUUGCAAAUAAUAAAUUUGACCUCUUUUUAUCCUUCUAUAGGGAGAAACCAAGAACUUAUGAAUUCUUGCUGUUUGGUACCUGCAGAGGCACUGAACUGUAUUGUUCAGGUUAUUGUAGCAAUAGCAUGGAUUGUCAUUAUGUACAAAAUAUGAAGCACUUUUUCAUCCUUAUCCUCUUCCUUCACAAAUAUAUAUAUUUAAACAUUGUGCAUUCACAAUAUAUCUUUAAGAGAUGUUGUCUUGAAAAGAAUGGAAAUGACAGAUAAUGCAAAACCUCUUUAUAAAAGCAGAUGCAAAUUUUUCUUCAUAAUACUUGAGAAUGUUCUUCUCUAGCUGAAAGAUAUGAGGCCUGUGAAUACAAAAUGACCUUUUUUUAUGAACCUUUACAGUGGGGAUUUGAAACCUAAGAUAAAAAUGGUUCAUUCCGAUUCUUCAUGUUAGAGAUAAUCUUCACAGAGUUAUAGUUUACUUUUUACUUCUAAGGUAGAAGCUGUAUGCUUUCCCUUGGCGGGGGGGAAAAAAAAUAUAGCAGCCACUUAAUAGUUUCCACUUACACCAGUCUAGAAGUGUGGAUCUGUCUCAAUCAAUAUUUUCCCCACAAGCAACCAUGACAGGGGUUACUCUGGGUAUAAACAUAUACUAUAUUUUUCUAUUUAUUAUGUAGGGAAAAACAAGGCAUGAUAAUAUUGCUUACCUGCUUUGACAGAAAGCAGCUGUCCCUAGAAAGGUAACAACCAUUCUGAUUGCAGUAAUUAAUUUCAUCUUGAUAGAUCCAGUAUUUGAAUUUCAUUAGACUAUGCAUUAUGUAUGGUCCAGAAUACUGUAAAAAUUAAAUGGGCAGAGAAUGUGAUUUUUUGAAAUAAAUGUGUCUGUAUACCUAUUUAUGUCAAGAAGUCAUGCAGGAAACAAAAUGAUAAAAUUGUUUUCCGACAUGAGUACAAAGAAAAUGUAUUAGUAUUUUUACCUUUAAUUUUUUUUUAUUCUUUUACUGAAGGAAAGCAUUUUCCAUGCUGAAUGUAGAUAUUCCUGAUUUAUCCUUCUGAUAUUAAAUUGAAAUAAUAUAAUGUUCUCUGAGAUGAAAGACUACAAUGGAAUAGAAUAGUUUUGUACCUAACAGCAAAUAAUCACAAUUCAGCUUGUAAAAAAUUUCGAUAUAUCUUUGCCUAAAUUUUUAAUUAUUAAUGAAACACACAAAUAGUUGAAAAAGCCAGCUAGCCAAGCAUCUAUGCCAGUGAGAUUUUUGUCUGUAUAUUUUUACAAGAUAUCAUACUAUCAGAAACACUUUCACUUGGCUCUAAUAAGUGCUUUAAUAGCAGAUGUAGUUCUUAUUAUCAGACAGAACAGGUGGCAGUUAAUUCAAGGGAGUUAUGAGAGUAAGAGAUCUCUCUCUGGGAUAAAAUAGUGUAUAUAGGGGAAAGACAGGUUAAGGCUAUGUCUCCAUUUGCAAAUAGUGUAGCUUAAUAGAAGUGGACUGUACAGAGAAACAGUUGGCCCUGAGGACUUGUUAGAUGUAUUAUAAUCAUCUUAGAGGUGUUAUGAAAUAGAUCUAGUCUGGUAUGCUUCUAGACUCUAUUUCCUAGUUUAGUUUUAUACAAAAGGUGUGUGAUGAGGGCACCUUCAGGCCACUUCACAAUGCCAACCAAAGUGGUAAGAACAAUGUUUACUUCCAAAGUGCAGUCUUCAUCUUCUCUAAAAUGCUAGUGUAGACACACCUUCUGUUUCAGUUUUCAGAGUGUGCUGUCUAGACCUGAUUAUUGAUGCUCUGUAAAACUGGGACACAUGGAUGUUAAUUUACCAGAAGAAACUGCUAAUCAUAUAAUAUUUUUAUGAGAAGGCAAAGAAAACCCAAUAAAAGUAAAGGUUCAAUUUUUCUCUAGAAAACGUGACUUUAUUGGGUAACUUCCAAAAACAUAAAAUAAACUGAAGAAAUUAACUCUGCUAUAAAAAAAAAUCUUGAACUGUGAUUAUCUUUAGUUUACAUAUUUAAUUUCAGUAUGCAAUCAUUCAGGUCUUUGCCUAUACUUGUGGAUCUAACUAGGAUCUAUGGGUCCAGACAAAAAGAUGUGAAAGUGUCUUACGCUGUGGUUGAUAAUGAUAUCUUUCAAAGUAGAUGCUAUGGCUGUUCAACACAAGACUGUAUUUGAGAAUUCACCUUCCUUCAGUGGGUUUUCUGGAUGACAACUCAUCUGGACCUCAUUAGGUUUAUGGGAUCAAGUUUUCAUUCUCUGUAUCUACAGCAAAAUAAGAAAAUCUAUAGGUCUUGCAGUACCUGAAGAUCUCUCAGGAAAAACAGAACUUGACUGGCAUCUCACUGAAAGUGGAUCCUAGAGACAAUGCAUGGCAUGCCAAUGCUGAAGUUCAAAUAGGGGAUAAUGCCCUGGAAGACAUUAGUUUAGAUGAGAAAAGUUGUGUUUUGACUUGUAAACAGCUGAAUGAUGGCUGCAUCUUAAUGACAUGCACUAACCAAAAUGAACCGACUGUCCAAGACUUGCAACUGAGCAAUGUUGUAUGUAUCCUCCUAGAGACAUUUUCUGGCACUUGCCAGAAGGCAGAUGAUGUGGGAUACACUGACAUCAGUGACAACAGAAAGACCAGGAAGAAGGCAAAAGCCUACCCAAACAAAAAAGAGUGAGCCUACCCUGUUGUUAUAUUGGAAACUUGCCUUUCUUCAACAUUCAGCAUAAAGAACCUGCUCUUCAUUGUCAUCUAAGCAGGAAACAAGGACUAAGCUUGCUGGCGUGUUUCUCACUUCUUCAUUAAAAAUUUACUGUGUUUAACACUCAUAUAAGGAGUUUGGGGUUUUUUUACAGGUCUUUAAAAGUAAUACACUCAUGUUGUUGGUAUAAAUAACAACAAAAUGUGGUGUUUUAACUACAGUGUAGAUGAACCUAUGGGUCAGUAAAUGCUUUUAUGUUUACUUUUCCUUUUGAGAACUAGAAAUGCUGAUGAAAAAAGUUGGGGCUUUUUUUUUAUGUUACCACACUUAAGUCUCCUUAUGCUAAUUGAUGCCUGGACAAACAUUCCCAUUGUCACCUGUCAAAAUGGACAAAAUCAAGUAGAAUGUAUCUUGGGGAAAAAGCUGACAAAUAUUUUUAAGCCUACAUUUAUUAUUCUAACAUUAAGAUUGCAUGCACCUUUUACUGUCUACUGGGUACAUUACUUCUAUGUCUGAGGACAAGUUUAAUUUUUGUGUGUGCUGUGUUAGCUAUAGAGAAGCUUAAAUGACAAAGUGGCAAAUAUUCCAGUUUAUAUUCUGGAAGAGAGAUGUGUGGGUGCUGAACUGUAUUUCUGUGAUUUGCAGAUGGUUUGGCAUAAACUCUAUUCUUGCUGUUUGUCCAAAGCCUGGUUUUAAGCACAAGGGUAUAAAUUUUAUUUAUUCUCUUCAUUGUUUAGAACAUUUCAGCAAAACAGUGAAUUGUGGGCCAGAUAUGCAGCUGGUGGUAGAUGGAAAAAGUCCACUAACUUCAGUGAAGAUACAUUUGUCCAUAUUGUCUGAAGCUGUGUUACAAUGCAUUUAUAAACACAAAUAGACAAAGGCUUGAAAUGAAGUCAAAGAAAUACCAAAAUUCUCAUGGUUCUACUUUUCAACUUACCUAUAUGAAAUUGGCAGUCAAAUCCCCUGUUAAGUAACUGAGUGCUAAUUUGAAAUUCUAAAUGUCUGAGUAAAUGAAUAAAUAUAGAUUUAAUCCUUUAACUUAAUAAAUUGAGGCUUCUGUUACAUUUUUCAUUCUAGUUGUGCGCAUAAUGAAAUUAGAAUAGAGAAACCUACUAAACAGUGUUUGUGGUGAACUACAGACAGAUAACAGGAAAUUUAUGUCUACAUUAGAGGAUUCACUUUCACCUAGACUUGUGUGGAGGAGUCAGUAAUUCCCCCAGAUACAUGCAGUUGAAAUUUUUCCAGGUAAGCUUGAAUAAUUCACACUUCAUUGCCUCACUCAAAGUAAGACUUUUCCUGAAAAAAAUCCAGUUUCUUUCUUUGAAUCCUAUGAAAAAAUAAGGUUCACCAGUGAAGCUCAGAGCAGAGUGCUUUUGAUGCAGCAGUUUUACCAUCUAACCACUUCAAAUUUGGAAAUACCCUGAUAGUACCUUGGCAAUUUCAGUAUUCUACAGUCUUCAAAAUGAUGUUUUGCUAUUUGCGUAACUUUAAGACUGCUUUUAAUAAUGCAGAAUGCCUCCCAUUAACUCAAACAUUCAUGAGGAGGAGAAGGACUUUCAGUGCAGGGAGUUUGAUGUUAGGUGAGACUUCAUCAAUCCUUUCUUCCUGUCUGGGAUUUAAAUUGUUAAGUUGUUUAGUUUGAGUACUUCCCUCUUCAGAAUCCAGG